AGAAGCCCGGACCUGGCCUGGCACAUAGAAGCCACCGAAGGGGUCCUGUGCCAAGGACAAACAGGAACGCCCACCCAGUGGGCGGGCCGUCCGUGGUCCAGAACUGGCAGGCCACUGACAAAUAUCCUCUGAGUAAAACUAAGGAAGGACGUCAGCUAUCAUCAGGGGGACUUGUGUGCCCCAGAGCCUACAGGGUGCUCAGGGACUGCAAGAAGAUCUUCCUUCCAGAAACAUUCAGUGGCACCUCCCCUUCUCCGACACUCUGCCGGGCCAUGGAAUUGCAGAGAAGAACGGGAGGGGGCCCUUGCCCUGAAGAACUCACAGAUCUGGAGGCUGGAAGUCCAAGAUCAAGGUGCCAGCGGGAUGGUUUCUGAUGGUGAUGAUGGCAGUUUCCAACCCUAUGAACAAUGUCUCCGAAACCUCCAAGACACACUAUAGGGCACAGAGGUGCCACCACUUCCCA
rnacentral:lncRNA from 1 species